rnacentral:rRNA from 1 species
GCGUGAGAAUUUGCCUUUAGGAGGGGGAUAACAACUGGAAACGGUUGCUAAUACCCCAUAUGCUUCCGAGUAAAAUGGAGUAAUCCGCCUAAAGAGAAGCUCGCGUCUGAUUAGCUUGUUGGUGAGGUAAUGGCUCACCAAGGCGACGAUCAGUAUCUGGUUUGAGAGGACGACCAGACACACUGGAACUGAGACACGGUCCAGACUCCUACGGGAGGCAGCAGUGGGGAAUUUUCCGCAAUGGGCGAAAGCCUGACGGAGCAAUACCGCGUGAGGGAAGAAUGCCUACGGGUUGUAAACCUCUUUUAUCAGGGAGGAAUAAAAUGACGUGUACCUGAUGAAUAAGCAUCGGCUAACUCUGUGCCAGCAGCCGCGGUAAGACAGAGGAUGCAAGUGUUAUCCGGAAUUACUGGGCGUAAAGCGUCUGUAGGUUGUUUAACAAGUCAACUGUUAAAUCUUGAAGCUCAACUUCAAAAUCGCAGUCGAAACUGUUAAACUAGAGUAUACUAGA